UACGUAGGGUGCAAGCGUUGUCCGGAUUUAUUGGGCGUAAAGAGCUCGUAGGUGGUUUGCUGCGUCCGCUGUGAAAACCCAAGGCUUAACCUUGGGCUUGCAGUGGAUACGGGCAGACUAGAGGAAGGUAGGGGAGAAUGGAAUUCCCGGUGUAGCGGUGAAAUGCGCAGAUAUCGGGAGGAACACCGGUGGCGAAGGCGGUUCUCUGGGCCUUACCUGACACUGAGGAGCGAAAGCGUGGGGAGCGAACAGG
rnacentral:rRNA from 1 species